UUAUAUGGUCACAUUUUCUGACUGUGGUGAGGACAACUUGAUGCAGCUCUCAAAUCACAGCAAAGAUCUCUCAUUUUCACCCAGCUUGUUAGCAUAUGGUUUUUAGCAGCUCUUAAGGCUGCUAAAUCUGUAAGAUGCCUUGAAUCUCAUCUGGGGAAAAGGUGGAAUGACUCUCCCCUGCGGACUGAAAACUGGCUCUGGAGGGUGUGAGAAGAAAGAAAGAAAGAAAGAAAGAAAGAAAGAAAGAAAGAAAGAAAGGUGAUCCUGCUCCAUAGCAACUAAUUAUAACUAUAAUGCACAUAUGGAAAGGCUGUAGCUCAGUGGCAGCACACAGAAAGGUCCCAGGUACAAUCCCUGGAGUUGCAAGGCAUUAUUUAUUAUUGUUUCUUAUUAAGUCUAUAUAACUCUUAGUAACAAUAGGCUCCCAGGCAGUUUACAAAUAAUAAAAACCUAUUACACAAACCAUCCAUAAUUAAGAGAUAAAAUCUAUAUACAAGUUGGGCUGAGAUGGACUCCUGUCUGAAAGCCAGGACAUCUGCUGCCGGUCAGCGUCAACGAUACUGAGCUAGGUGGACAAAUGGGCAGACUCUGCAUGAGGGGUGCUUAGGGAGGAGAAGCAUCGCCAAGAUUUGAAGGCACUUUACUGCACUCUGUCAACUGCAGUUCCUCAAUCACUGAAGUGAAGCACCAGCUUCCAAGGUUGCUGUUCUAACCUGCAUU